rfam:Actinobaculum sp. oral taxon 183 str. F0552 genomic scaffold Scaffold35, whole genome shotgun sequence.
UGUGUGGAGAGUUUGAUCCUGGCUCAGGACGAACGCUGGCGGCGUGCUUAACACAUGCAAGUCGAACGGGCUCUGUCUGGCUGUGUGCUGGGUGGGGUUAGUGGCGAACGGGUGAGUAAUACGUGAGUAACCUGCCCUCUUCUUUGGGAUAAGCCUUGGAAACGGGGUCUAAUACUGGAUAUUCCUGUCUGGUCGCAUGGCUGGGUGGGGAAAGUUUUUUUCGGUGGGGGAUGGGCUCGCGGCCUAUCAGCUUGUUGGUGGGGUGAUGGCCUACCAAGGCGUCGACGGGUAGCCGGCCUGAGAGGGUGACCGGCCACACUGGGACUGAGAUACGGCCCAGACUCCUACGGGAGGCAGCAGUGGGGGAUAUUGCACAAUGGGCGCAAGCCUGAUGCAGCGACGCCGCGUGGGGGAUGACGGCUUUCGGGUUGUAAACCUCUUUCGUCGGGGGACAAGGCUCUGCUUGGUGGUGGGGUUGAGGGUACCCGGUGAAGAAGCGCCGGCUAACUACGUGCCAGCAGCCGCGGUAAUACGUAGGGCGCGAGCGUUGUCCGGAAUUAUUGGGCGUAAAGGGCUCGUAGGCGGCUUGUCGCGUCUGCUGUGAAAAUGCGGGGCUUAACUCCGUACGUGCAGUGGGUACGGGCAGGCUAGAGUGCGGUAGGGGUGACUGGAAUUCCUGGUGUAGCGGUGGAAUGCGCAGAUAUCAGGAGGAACACCGAUGGCGAAGGCAGGUCACUGGGCUGUUACUGACGCUGAGGAGCGAAAGCGUGGGGAGCGAACAGGAUUAGAUACCCUGGUAGUCCAUGCUGUAAACGUUGGGAACUAGGUGUGGGGUUCUUUCCACGGAUUCUGCGCCGGAGCUAACGCAUUAAGUUCCCCGCCUGGGGAGUACGGCCGCAAGGCUAAAACUCAAAGGAAUUGACGGGGGCCCGCACAAGCGGCGGAGCAUGCGGAUUAAUUCGAUGCAACGCGAAGAACCUUACCAAGGCUUGACAUACGCUGGGACGGUGCAGAGAUGUGCUGGCUUUUGCUGGUGUACAGGUGGUGCAUGGUUGUCGUCAGCUCGUGUCGUGAGAUGUUGGGUUAAGUCCCGCAACGAGCGCAACCCUUGUCUCGUGUUGCCAGCAGGUUGGGCUGGGGACUCACGGGAGACUGCCGGGGUUAACUCGGAGGAAGGUGGGGAUGACGUCAAAUCAUCAUGCCCCUUAUGUCUUGGGCUUCACGCAUGCUACAAUGGCCGGUACAGAGGGUUGCGAUAUCGUGAGGUGGAGCGAAUCCCUUAAAGUCGGUCUCAGUUCGGAUCGGGGUCUGCAACUCGACCCCGUGAAGUCGGAGUCGCUAGUAAUCGCGGAUCAGCAACGCCGCGGUGAAUACGUUCUCGGGCCUUGUACACACCGCCCGUCACGUCACGAAAGUUGGCAACACCCGAAGCUCGUGGCCUAACCCGUGUGGGGGGAGCGGUCGAAGGUGGGGUUGGCGAUUGGGACGAAGUCGUAACAAGGUAGCCGUACCGGAAGGUGCGGCUGGAUCACCUCCUUU